AUUGAACGCUGGCGGCAGGCCUAACACAUGCAAGUCGAACGAGUGGCGGACGGGUGAGUAAUGUCUGGGAAACUGCCCGAUGGCGGGGGAUACCUACUGGAAACGGUAGCUAAUACCGCAUACCAUCGGAUGUGCCCAGAUGGGAUUAGCUAGUAGGUGGGGUAAAGGCUCACCUAGGCGACGAUCCCUAGCUGGUCUUAGAGGAUGACCAGCCACACUGGAACUGAGACACGGUCCAGACGCCUACGGGAGGCAGCAGUGGGGAAUAUUGCACAAUGGGCGCAAGCCUGAUGCAGCCAGGCCGCGUGUAUGAAGAAGGCCUUCGGGUUGUAAAGUACUUGCAGCGGGGAGGCGUUACCCGCAGAAGAAGCACCGGCUAACUCCGUGCCAGCAGCCGCGGUAAUUC
rnacentral:rRNA from 1 species